GGCGAGUGAAGCGGCAAUAGCUCAAAUUUGAAAUCUGGCGCUUGCGUCCGAGUUGUAAUUUGCAGAGGAUGAUUUUGGUUAGGUACCUUCCGAGUUCCUUGGAACAGGACGCCUUAGAGGGUGAGAGCCCCGUACGGUUGGAUGCCGAGCCUUUGUAAAUCUCCUUCGACGAGUCGAGUAGUUUGGGAAUGCUGCUCUAAAUGGGAGGUAAAUUUCUUCUAAAGCUAAAUACCGGCCAGAGACCGAUAGCGCACAAGUAGAGUGAUCGAAAGAUGAAAAGCACUUUGAAAAGAGGGUUAAAUAGCACGUGAAAUUGUUGAAAGGGAAGGAUUUAUGACCAGACUUUUUCUAGGAGGAUCAUCCGGUGUUCUCACCGGUGCACUUCUUCUAGUCUAGGCCAGCAUCGACUUUCGGCGGUGGAUAAAAGCUUUGGGAAUGUGACUCCUUUCGGGGAGUGUUAUAGCCUAUUGUAUAAUACACUGCUGGGGGUCGAGGUACGCGCUUCUGCAAGGAUGCUGGCGUAAUGGUUAUCAAUCACCCGUCUUGAAACACGGACCAAGGAGUCGAACAUUUGUGCAAGUGUUUGGGUGUUAAACCCUCACGCGUAAUGAAAGUGAACGGAGGUGAGAGCCCUUACGGGUGCAUCAUCGACCGAUCCUGAUGUUUUCGGAUGGAUUUGAGUAAGAGCAUAACUGUUCGGACCCGAAAGAUGGUGAACUAUGCGUGGAUAGGGUGAAGCCAGAGGAAACUCUGGUGGAGGCUCGCAGCGGUUCUGACGUGCAAAUCGAUCGUCAAAUCUGCGCAUGGGGGCGAAAGACUAAUCGAACCAU
rnacentral:rRNA from 1 species